rnacentral:rRNA from 1 species
CCCGGUGAAAUUUUAACGGCCGCAGUUAAGAGCUGUGCUAAGGUAGCGUCGUAAGUUGUCCUUUAAAUGGGGAAAGGAAUGAAUGGUUUGACGUGGGAAAGUCUGUCUCCNGNAAAAUUAACGNNAUUUUCUUCUUGGUGAAAAGCCCAAGAUUAUCUUAAAAGACGAGAAGACCCUUUCGAGCUUGAUAAAGUAAUAAAGUUUUUAAUUAUAUAAGUUUGGUUGGGGCAACUUAGGAGCAAAAAAAGACUCCUUUAGGAUUAUAAAAAUCCAACAUUUUUGAAAAAAGAAAAAGCUACCGUAGGGAUAACAGCGUUAUCUUUUCUGAGAGAACAAAUUGAAGAAAAG